CCCUCUGGGAUGUGAGGAUGGAAGCCUUGGGCGGACCUUUGAGCUGAGUGCACUUCAGCAGUUUAGAAAAACCUGGGAUGUCACCAUGGAGCCACUGUCAGUUCUGGUGAUGUCUGAGUUCUUUAGCAGCGUAGAAACACAGGGGAUGUCAGCACAGAGCUGCUGUCAUUGCCUGUGACCUCACUGCUCUUUAGGAGCACAGCAGCCACUGGCUUGUCACAAUGGAGCCCCUCUGAGUGGCUGUGACAAAGCACUUCUUUAGCAGCCUGGAUCCCCUGGGAUGUCCCUGUGGAGUUCCUCUAACAGCGUGUGAUCUCAUGGUUCUUUUGCAGCCUUGGACACCCUUGGAAUGUCACCGUGGAGCCUGUGAGUGACAUGACAGCUCUUUAGCAGCAUGGAGACUUCUAGGAUGAUGCCAUGGAAGCCCUGUGAGUGCCUGUGACAUCACGGCUGCUUAGCAGCCUGGAGACACUUGGGAUGUUGCCACUGAGACCCUGUGACAGCCUGUGAGGUCAGUGCAGUUUGGCAAAUGGGACUCCUGGGAUUGCCAUGACCUCAGUGUUCUUUAGGAGCUCGGAGACCUCUGGGAUGUCACCAUAGAAGCUCAGUCUUUGGAAGAUGAAAGAGCUCUGGGAUGUCA